GGAGUCGGCCAGACAGUCGCGUCACCCUCGCGGGUGCCGAGGAAAGUCCGGGCUCCACAGGGUGCGAUGCCAGGUAACGCCUGGGCGGCGCGAGCCGACGGAAAGUGCAACAGAAAGAUACCGCCACGCGAGUGGUAAGGGUGAAAUGGUGCGGUAAGAGCGCACCGCGAGCCGGGCAACCGGCCGGCACGGCAAACCCCAUCGGGAGCAAGACCAAAUAGGGAGUCAUGGCGUGACCCGCGUCGGCUCCGGGUAGGUUGCUGGAGCCCCGCAGCGAUGCGGGGCCGAGAGGAAUGACUGUCCACGACAGAACCCGGCUUACCGGCCGGCUCCGCCA
rnacentral:RNase_P_RNA from 1 species